rnacentral:rRNA from 1 species
CCUACGGGAGGCAGCAGUGGGGAAUUUUGGACAAUGGGCGCAAGCCUGAUCCAGCCAUUCCGCGUGAGUGAAGAAGGCCUUCGGGUUGUAAAGCUCUUUUCGCGAGGGAAGAAAAACUUACCAUCGAAUAAAUGGUGAGGCUGACGGUACCUUGAUAAGAAGCACCGGCUAACUACGUGCCAGCAGCCGCGGUAAUACGUAGGGUGCGAGCGUUAAUCGGAAUUACUGGGCGUAAAGCGUGCGCAGGCGGUUUUGUAAGUCAGAUGUGAAAUCCCCGAGCUCAACUUGGGAACUGCGUUUGAAACUACAAGACUAGAAUAUGUCAGAGGGGGGUAGAAUUCCACGUGUAGCAGUGAAAUGCGUAGAGAUGUGGAGGAAUACCAAUGGCGAAGGCAGCCCCCUGGGAUAAUAUUGACGCUCAUGCACGAAAGCGUGGGGAGCAAACAGGAUUAGAUACCCUGGUAGUCCACGCCCUAAACGAUGUCUACUAGUUGUUGGUGGAGUAAAAUCCAUGAGUAACGCAGCUAACGCGNGAGAGACGCGNGGAGUACGGUCGCGAGAAGUAAACGUACGAAAGAAGUAGUACGCGUGAGACGUGACGACGGACGACGACGAGGGAGGAGG